GGGGGAACCUUUUGAACUCUAGAGAUAGAGCUUUCCCUUCGGGGGCAAAGUGACAGGUGGUGCAUGGUUGUCGUCAGCUCGUGUCGUGAGAUGUUGGGUUAAGUCCCGCAACGAGCGCAACCCUUAUUAUUAGUUGCCAGCAUUCAGUUGGGCACUCUAGCAAGACUGCCGGUGACAAACCGGAGGAAGGUGGGGACGACGUCAAAUCAUCAUGCCCCUUAUGACCUGGGCUACACACGUGCUACAAUGGGAAGUACAACGAGUUGCGAAGCCGCGAGGUUAAGCUAAUCUCUUAAAACUUCUCUCAGUUCGGAUUGCAGGCUGCAACUCGCCUGCAUGAAGCCGGAAUCGCUAGUAAUCGCGGAUCAGCAUGCCGCGGUGAAUACGUUCCCGGGUCUUGUAACACACGCAAA
rnacentral:rRNA from 1 species